CGAUGGCUGCUUAUUUUGACACAAUAACACAGACUUUCACAGCGCUUGAGACUUCAUGUAAUAACAGUAUGGUCCUAUGGAUUUCAGUACCAAAACUGAUUUUCUACCGUUUUUCUUCCAAGAAAGUUCUGAACAGCUGAAUCCUGGAUCAGCCUAGAUGUUAUUUCACUGGAUUAUUUAAUGAAUAUUACUCUACUGAGUUACCUGGUUACAUGGAUCAGCUAAGAUGUUGUUUCACUGGAUUAUUUAAUUGGGCAUAUAAUUGGAUAAUUCUGUCCUCAACCUGGAAGAUAUGUUUUAUUCCUAACCAUCUAUAAUCCAUUCUCUAUGAAGUUCAGCCUGUCUGCCCAAAUUCCUUUGGAAAUACAUAGUUAGUCAACCAACAUAGAAACAAUCAAACUUGAAGUCCUCAACCUGGAAGAUAUGUUUUAUUCCUAACCAUCUAUAAUCCAUUCUCUAUGAAGUUCAGCCUGUCUGCCCAAAUUCCUUUGGAAAUACAUAGUUAGUCAACCAACAUAGAAACAAUCAAACUUGAAGUCCUCAACCUGGAAGAUAUGUUUUAUUCCUAACCAUCUAUAAUCCAUUCUCUAUGAAGUUCAGCCUGUCUGCCCAAAUUCCUUUGGAAAUACACAGUUAGUCAAUCAACAUAGAAACACACAAACUUGAAGGAUUUAAGAAGAACAUAAAUAUGAUUUCCAUCGAAUUUAACCAGUACGAUCAUAGACUGUGGUUUAUACAGGAUGACAAAGAAAGGACCCAGGAUUGUAUGUUUCACUGUCAGACACUGACUAUGGAUAAAGUGUAAUCAUUUAUCAAACUGAGAUCUAGUCAAAUCAAGUAUUGAAAAUAUGAUUUUCUGAUAGCAUGAGCUCUUUAAAAACUAUUUCUCACUGACCUCAAAGUAUCUGAAUGUGACUUUUAUUUUUACCAAUUCAUAUUGAAGACUGUUGUUAUGUAUGGGAAUUACACAUUUAAACCUUUUAUUUUUCAUCUAAUUUUUACAACCCCCUAGAAAUUACACAGAUAUCCAGAUGCUGGAUUUAAUGGUAUUAUUUAACUUUCCUGGAAUUGUAAAUAUAUUUUGUUUGUGUAUGUAUCAUGUUUAAUUUUGAAUUUAAAAUUUGUCUCAAUAGGACCCCCAUAAAGAUGUAAGUGUCCCAUAAUCUGUGAUGCAAUAAUAUCUUGAAUAUUUGUUGUCAUCCCAUAUACUUCAUACUUACUACAUAAAGACUGAUUGGAGGAAUACACUUUGUUGUUUGGGACACUUUAUCAAGGUCAAAGCAUGAGAUUAUUGAGAAGACUACUUUGACAAUAAUUUGUAACUUACAAACUUCACAUCAUAAGUACAUAAAUGAAGAAUGAAUAGGAUGAAUAAGAGAUUUCUUAAGAAAUCUUGGAUCAUGUUUCUCCUGAAUAAAAACCAGUUACUGAGAUAACUGAUAUGAGUCUUGCAAUAACUUCAACAUUUUGUAAUAAGUAUAGAAAAUAUGAUUUUCUGAUAGCAUGGGCUCUUUAAAAAUUAAUUCUCACGGACUUCAGAGUAUUUAAAUGUGACUUUUAUUUUUUGCCAAUUCAUAUUGAAGACAGUUGUUAUGUAUGAGAAGUAUACAUUUAAACCUUUUAUUUUGCAUCUUAUUUCUAUAACCCCCUAGAAAUUACACAGAUAUUCAGAUGCUAGAUUUAAUGUAAUUAUUACUUUCCUGGAAUUGUAAAUAUAUUGUAUUUGUGUAUAUAUGUAUGUGUAUUGUACCCUAUUUUUAAAUUUAAAACUUGAAAUAUGAUAAAGGUCCCUUAGUAUCCCACAUCAAGAUGCAGUUACCCAGUAAUCUGUGAUGCAAUAUCUUGAAUAUUUUUAUCAUCUCAUAUACUUCAUGCUUACUACACAUAACAGCUUAUAGUAAUACACAUAGUUUUAAAGGACACAUUUGUCAAGGUCAAAGCAUGCGAUUAUUGAGAUAACUACUUUUGAAAAUAAUUUGUAACCUACAAACUUCACAUCAUAAGUUAAGAAUGAAUCGGAGAUUUUCUAUAGAUUUUAAGAUCAUUUUUCUUCUGGGUAAAAGUCAGUUGGUAAGAUUACUAAUAUGAGCUUUGUAAUGUUGAAACUUUAACAUUUUGUUAUAACCUAGAGACUUUAUAUCUGUUAUAUUGGGUGACAUGGCAUAUUCUUUGGAAAGAAUUGGAAAUGUAAAUCAAAUGCACAACAAGGAUGUUUAAAGACUAUUACUAUGUAAUACCUAAGAAUUCUGUAAAAAAUCUUAUUAUCACUGCAUAGAUAAAGACUGGUUGGAAUAAUAUAAGUUUUGAACUAAGGUCAAGGGGAAAAACCCAUUCAUAAAUAGAUCUGCAUGGGGAAGACUCCUCUAGAUCUUCAUUCAAAAGUAAAGAAAGUAUUUUUUUUUUAAGUUUGAAAGAUUGAAUGGCAGCAUAUCAUUUGCUUAUGAAUUUAAAAUGAAUCCAAACAUAUACAUCUUUAGAUGAUAACUGUAGAAUUUUUUCAAUUCCUGGACUUUCUGUCUUGAUAUUUUCCUUUAUUUUCUGUAAAAUUUAAUGAUUGUCUUUUUUAGUUUAGUUGCAUUAGUUUCUUUUUGGCAUGUAAAAAUGACAUCAUCCAAUUUGAAAGAAGUUCAUCUACAUUUUAUAUUUAGGAGAGAAUUUUUCAUCAAAGGUUUCAUUUUUGUUUAUAUGGAAUGCUAAGUUCUGUUGAUUUCCCUUUUUCCUACUAAAGACAUACCAGUAGAGUAGUAAAUGUACAUGAUGUGUCAGCAAAGCAUGCGGAAACCUGAUGACUUUAUCAUUUCUGAUUAAAUCAAAUUAUGAGUUUCAUCUUUGUUACAUUGUAAUAAUUCCUAAAUAGGACACACACCAGAAACUCUUAAAAUGAUCUCUACUGUUUUAACUGAGCAUCAGGCUUUAACAGUACAUAACUAUUCCAAAUGAUUUUUGGACGCUUUUGUAUCAAAAAGACAAAACAGUUGGUUCACAGAUGUUCCAAAGAAAAACAGCCACAAAGAAAUGAUUUGUUAUGUUCUUUGAUUGAUUCAUGUAAAAUAUAUUUUAAAAAGUAUACUCUAACAUUUAUCUUUUGCAUAAAUAACUUUUUGUGGAGAAUUUUUCAUAACUUUAAAAAAGUAGUCUUAUUGUGUAAUAUGGUUAGCUUAAAAUCUUGUAGACUUUAAAGUUUUACAUGACCUGUCACACAUCUUACAUGUGUAACCAUUUCAUUUCAGGGUAUUCAGCAUAUAUUGUGGUUUUCUCUUAAAUUUAUUUGCUUAUGUAAUCAAUAAUUUGAGAAUACUCAAAUUAGGAAAUGUAAGAGAGAAUAGGCAAGAAAAUCAGGGUUAAAAAAUGUUUUUACUACAAAGGGGUUAAUCUAUUAUUUAAUAUAUAAGUACAUUCAGUCUAUACAUUUCAUUUGGGUAUGAAAUAAACUUACAUUUGAGCAUUUUAAGACAAUUGUAAAUAUUACUUUAAUCU